rnacentral:rRNA from 1 species
GACGAACGCUGGCGGCGUGCUUAACACAUGCAAGUCGAACGGAAAGGCCCUGCUUUUGUGGGGUGCUCGAGUGGCGAACGGGUGAGUAACACGCGAGUAACCUGCCCUUGACUUUGGGAUAACUUCAGGAAACUGGGGCUAAUACCGGAUAGGAGCUCCUGCUGCAUGGUGGGGGUUGGAAAGUUUCGGCGGUUGGGGAUGGACUCGCGGCUUAUCAGCUUGUUGGUGGGGUAGUGGCUUACCAAGGCUUUGACGGGUAGCCGGCCUGAGAGGGUGACCGGCCACAUUGGGACUGAGAUACGGCCCAGACUCCUACGGGAGGCAGCAGUGGGGAAUAUUGCACAAUGGGCGGAAGCCUGAUGCAGCAACGCCGCGUGCGGGAUGACGGCCUUCGGGUUGUAAACCGCUUUCGCCUGUGACGAAGCGUGAGUGACGGUAAUGGGGAAAGAAGCACCGGCUAACUACGU